AACUCAAACUAAAAUUAAAAAGGCACCAAAAGAUCAAAGAACAGCAGAUUCAAAGCAAUUAAAGAUACCCAAAAUCAAGAAACAAUCAAGACAAAUAAAGGACUACUAAGAAUUGUUGACAUUGUGGAUGAACAUGACUUGACAAAACAUAUAAGAUUCAGAAAUUAAAGACUCAAAAGCAUAAUAUGAACCAAAUAAGAAAGCAAUAAAGACUCAAAAGCCUAAAAGAAAAUAGCAACUCAAAGGUGUAUGGAAUCCUAUCACAAAUUGCACAAGAACUUGUUCAAGAUCAAUUGAACAAAAGUGCUUCGGUUGGAUCUUCCAAAUAGCACACCAAAACAAAUUAAAAUGCAAAAAACAGCAAGACAAUUAUGGUAA
rnacentral:lncRNA from 1 species